rnacentral:rRNA from 1 species
UACGUAGGUGGCAAGCGUUGUCCGGAUUUACUGGGCGUAAAGAGCGCGCAGGCGGUCGUUCAAGUCGCGUGUGAAAGCCCCCGGCUCAACUGGGGAGGGUCACGCGAUACUGAUCGACUCGAAGGCAGGAGAGGGAAGUGGAAUUCCCGGUGUAGUGGUGAAAUGCGUAGAUAGUCGGGAGGAACACCAGUGGCGAAGGCGGACUUCUGUGCCUGUCUU